UACAUGUGGGGCAAGCGUUGUUCGGAAUUACUGGGCAUAAAGGGUGCGUAGGCGGCUUGCUAAGUCAGUGGUGAAAUCGUCCGGCCCAACCGGACACGUGCCAAUGAUGCUGGUGAGCUUGAGUGCGUGAGGGAUAGGGGGAACGAGCAGUGUAGCGGUGAAAUGCGUAGAUAUUGCUCGGAAGGCCAACGCCGAAGGGACCCUAUUGGUGCGCAACUGACGCUGAGGCACGAAAGCGUGGGGAGCAAACAGG
rnacentral:rRNA from 1 species